AGAUAGCUGCUGCAAGGACUAGGAACAGUCUGUGCUUAGAGGAUCUGCUAUGAGAAACAUUGAGGAGCCUCAUAGUCAUGAUAAUAUUCUUCUGAGAGAAAAUGGUGUGUGACUGGAGUAGAAGCAAAACCAAAUCAAUGGUGUGGUCUUGUCACCUACCUCAUGCACAAACAGAACCAAGACCUUAAGUGUUUGCUUCUCUUCUCCAUGAAUUAACUAAGUAAAGGACAGCAGCAGCGGGAUGUUCCUCCUGGACCAACACCAAAAUGGGAUGAGAUUCAUGUUUCCUUAGACAGCAGGAGCCCUUCACUGUGUAGAACUGCUGGAGGAAAUAAGGUCAUUUCAACGUUUUUUUCAGCCUCUGCAAGUGACUUCCUGCAAGAGAAUUCAGCAGCGUUUUGUGGGCCAGCACCACUCCUGUUUGAAAUGGGCUAAUCCUAAAUCACUGAUUUAAGCAGCGCUAAACCAAAGAAGUCUGCAUUGAAAUUGUAGUGGAAGAAACUCAAUUUUUAAAAAUCUGAUAAUUAAUUUUUUUUUCAGGAGCUCAAGCAGAAUGAAAAAAGAAUAAUAAUAAUCCCCAAGACCUCACCUAUCCCCACAACAGAGUAGAGACAAGACCUGGGAUAGCCCUUUCUAUAAAGACCUGGGACCAGUUGGGCAACUUUUGGAGAUUCAGUUUCUGGCCAUCUCCCAGUCACUUUGCAAACUACCCCUUCCAAUUAGUGUCUUCUAUUUCUCUUUCCCUUUUUAUUUUUUUUCUUUCAUUUUUUAAAAUAAAGGUGUGAUACAUUAAAGAGUC